rnacentral:rRNA from 1 species
AUACGUAGGGGGCAAGCGUUGUCCGGAAUUACUGGGCGUAAAGCGCACGCAGGCGGAAUUGUAAGUCCGUUGUAAAAUUCAGAGGCUCAACCUCUGUCUGUCGGCGGAUACUGCAAAUCUAGAGUAUGUGAGAGGGAAGUGGAAUUCCUGGUGUAGUGGUGAAAUGCGUAGAUAUCAGGAGGAACUCCGGUGGCGAAGGCGACGUCAUGGCAAAAGCCUGACGCUCAUGUGCGAAAGCUAGGUUAGCGAACGGGAUUAGAUACCCCGGUAGUCCUAGCCGUAAAUGAUGGAUACUAGGUGUGGGUGUCGCAGGGCAUCCGUGCCGCAGUUAACGCGUUAAGUAUCCCGCCUGGGGACUACGGUCGCAAGACUGAAACUCAAAUGAAUUGACGGGG